AUGCAUCUCGUGUCUGUAUGAAAAGUGUUAAUGUUUUUGAUGGUUAUAAACCCUUUAUAAUAUAGGGGUUUAAUGUUAUAAUUGCGUAAAAGGUCUAUGAAGUGUUGUGUCGUUUUAGCGCGAAUAUUGCGCGCCAAAACAUUUUUCAAAUUGACAUUGACAUUAACAAUUAAUGCUUCUAAAUCUAUCGAAGCUAAUGCACAAACAGUGUUAGAGCCAAAAAAAAACUAUGCAAUGUCUAUUAACAAUAAUACUAAUGUGAAUUUCAACAAUCAAAACUCGCCACUAUAUAAAGGUUUAUAACGUUUUUAUAUGUCCUUUAGCAUUAAAAUCGAGCUUGGAAAAAAACAUGUUUAAAGGGGCAAGGUAGAUUGGGAGAUGUAUUGGAUUUGUUGAAAUUAGAAACUUUGCUGAUACUAGAAUCUCAUUUGGCGUAUGGACUCAGGUAACCUGUUUAAUUUUAAGUUGUCAUUUAAGGUAUUUUUACAAAGAAUUCGCUAGUCGUGACCACAAACCUGUCUCUUGAAGACUGAAUAAAUAUUUCUUUACGGCG